ensembl:lncRNA
GUUCAAAAUGAAUGUGUUUACGAAUGUUCACCUCACACCCACUGCAUCAACAACACUGUGCAAACAUUCUGACGAGCUACAUGAUUAAUGAGUAUUAUUAGUACUGCAUUGUUUUAUUAUAUUUCUAAUGCCUUUCUUUUUAUUAUUUCUUUCUGGUUAGUUUAGCUAGACUUUGCACAUCAUGUUAAUAUUAAUAUAUGAAUAUUGCAUGACUGUUCCUUAUUGCCUUUGUCUUUGCAAACUGCAGAACAACCUUGGAUUGCUCUCUUUUGUUUGCAUUUUGAUGCAACUGUUGUUGGCAAAGCCCAAAGAGCACACACGAGACGAGGGCCUUCAGAUGGAGAAAUCAAGCUGCAGUUAUGAUUAUCCUGCAAUAAAAGCAGAUUUCUGUGGAAGUUCUCAGGAUGUGUCCGUGCUGUUGUUUAUAUCUGAGGUGUGCAGACGUGUGGAGAGAGAUCGGGACAGAAGAGGAGGAUCAGAGCGGAGUCAGGAUGGACAUCAAGCUCUUAGAAAAGCAAUACAGCUCCGUCAGAGAGACACAGAGACGACAGACUCAGCUCAUCUGCUUCAAGAACACACAAAACAGUGAAGAGAUGAGCGGCAGAGUGAAAUAUUACCCCUUCCCUCAGAAGAAAAGCCUCAGGAAAUCAGAGACGGCCAGGAGACUGGGACUCUACGCCUCACUUUAACCAAGAAACGUUCUCUCGGAGUUACGAAGAAACUAUAUACAGGACGUUCCUGAUAACAUUAGCACAAACACAUUAUUUAAACAUCAUUCAUGGGAGGUUUUUUAAGUGUAACUCCUUUAUAAAGAUUCUAAAGUAACGUUUGCUAAAUGAUGAAAUUGCAUGUGUCUGUAUAACAAGAAAUAAUGUUUUUAAAACAUUAAAUAUGGAUAUUUUGAAAAUAACAUUUUCAUAACGUUGGUAAAACAAUCUUAGAACAUAUUUUUGACAAAAAUCAUGCAAAACCCAGGUAACAAAUUUAGUUUAUCAAAACGUUGUGUGAAUAUCAUGUUUCUAAAACAUUAAAAGUUUCCAAGUUUUCUUGUUGUGACUAUAAUGUUAUUUAAAGGAUGCAAAAACAUUAUUUUUACCCAAAAUAUAACAUUAUUUAAAUUUUUUUUUAAUCUUCUAAGAGUGUUGAAAUGUCUUUCGUGUCGUGAUUAAUAAUAAUAAUUAUUAUUAUUAUUAUUAAUGAAUAAUUAAGUGACCUUACAAAAAGUCUUAUUUGAGAGAAGAAGAAGAAAUAUGGAAUAUUAAAUAUAGAAUUAACGGUUCAAUGAAUCGUGGGACGUUAUUUAAAGGUUAUUUUCGCCCAAAAUAUAACGUUAUUUCCAUGUUUAUUUUUAAUAUUCUAAGAACAUUUAAAUGAACAGUUUUCUUGAUUAAAACGUUUCUUUAAAUGUUCAUCGAGUACAAAAACAUAAGGAAGUUCUAGAAUGUUGAUUGCGGAAUGUUUAUCAAAUAUUAGAAAGAUUAUAAAGAUAUUCCAUAAAUGUUACAUUUCAUCAUUUCUUUGUUUUCCAGCCGUAGUAUUCUGUAGAAAUGAGCUGAAAACAAAACCAAUGGCUGUUUCUUAUCACUUCUGUUUGAUUAUUGAUGCUGUUGGUUGAUGUUCAUGCAGCGUGUUGAAAUCAUAUUGAUAUGCAUUGAUUUAAAACACAUCGUGACAUUACAGGAGAUAAUUAAAGAACCGUUGCAUUUGCAUCAUAUAACUAAUUGUUCGUUUGCAUAGUUUUCACAAUUACUAAUUGCCAGAUCAAUAUUUGUAUUGUAUUGUGAAUUGUAGAUAAAAGAAAGAUUAUUGUAGUGUUUUAUAAGAGUAUACGGUUUCAGUCUUAAAUUCAAUGUGCUGCCGUUUCUUUGU